GAUUUCUGGCUUGGCGCGCCUGGCCCGCUACCGUUAGGUAUGUGAGUGCCGGGUCGUGUCUGCCAUCCUUCUAGAAAACGUUUCUACUCUUCACUGAGCCGGAGGCGCAAUCUAGAUCUUUUACUUUGAAAAAAUUAGAGUGUUUCAAGCAGGCUUUAUGCUAUGAAUACAUUAGCAUGGAAUAAUAAUUUAGGACUUCGGUUCUAUUUUGUUGGUUUCUAGGACUGAAGUAAUGAUUGAUAGGGAUAGUUGGGGGUGCUAGUAUUCAGCGGCCAGAGGUGAAAUUCUCGGAUUCGCUGAAGACUAACUUAUGCGAAAGCAUU
rnacentral:rRNA from 1 species